rnacentral:rRNA from 1 species
UACGUAGGGGGCAAGCGUUGUCCGGAUUUAUUGGGCGUAAAGAGCGUGUAGGCGGCCAAGCAGGUCCGCUGUGAAAACUCGAGGCUCAACCUCGAGACGUCGGUUGAAACCACCUGGCUAGAGUCCGGAAGAGGAGAGUGGAAUUCCUGGUGUAGCGGUGAAAUGCGCAGAUAUCAGGAAAAACACCCGUGGCGAAGGCGGCUCUCUGGGACGGUACUGACGCUGAGACGCGAAAGCGUGGGGAGCGAACAGG